ACACGCUAUCUGGCAGCUGUUGUCUUUGCGGUGCAUUUGAGUGCAACUUGUCGGCCAAGACGAAGGAGACGUGAGGCGACUCAACAGUCGGCCUUCGUCGCUGCUAGUUCUCUGAUCUGGACCUUUAAGAGGAACGGCAGCAGAGACGGUUGCAGAGACGAGUCACCGCUGGGAGCGUCGACGGUAUUUGAGAGGGAAACUUUGUGAGAGCCGGAAAACCCCCCCUCUGCCAACAAACAGGUUCCUGCUGGUACCUGAAACCCCCGACACCUACCCCCCCACACACACAGUCAACUGUCUGCUGGUGAAAACAACAAAGAGCAUCAGGAGAAAACAAAAAGUCACAACUCCUCAGAAACCAACGAAGACGAGAAGGAGCUUCGGGUUUCGGAGGCAGACGGAUCACAUGUUCAUCGCUCUGCACGAUGAAAACCACUCCGAGACCAUUAGUAUGAAUAAAUAAAACGCCAGCUGAUGAUCCGAUGAUGUUUUCUACUCUCUCUCUCUGCUGUGUCACAUUACACGGAAAUAAAACUAAAUAAUUCACUGACCAAUAAGAGCAUGAUCUGUGCAGCAGAUAUUCUGAUUUUUAGUUUCUUGUAACUCCAAAAACACUGGAUCCUACAUUUCCCAUGAUGCAUCAUUCAUCAUCAGAGCCUCUCUGCCUGGUAAACAGUGUUUCACACUCCAGAUUUGAACACAGACUGUGAGCCACAGACGACAUUAACCUGUUUUCAAUCUGUGCACGGCUCCUUUAAUUGUGUUUUUACGUCCAGCUCUGCAGUCGUCUGUGAAUCAGCAACCAGAUAAAGGUCACAGGUUUGACUCCCGGCUGCUGCGUCAGCUGAACGCAGACAAAAUGAAAAGUGAAUCUCGAAGCUCGUCGUUUUGUUUUUGCUCUGCCACCAGUCUGAGGUUUAGAUUUUCUUGUUUCCUCGUCUGACACGGUUAGGUUUCGUGUCCUCUGCUGCUUUCAUUUCUUCUACCAAGCCCACUGAUCACACAGUACCAAAGGUCAAGUGUGUUUAAAUGCUCCUCCGUGUUUGUUUGUUUGUGGUUAUAGGUUAAAGCUGGCCCACUCUAAAAGAUGGUUCAAAUUUUAAAUGAAACGUUCAACCCCCUAGAUUUUAUAAAAUGGAAAAGUUUAAUUCAAGAAGUAAAAGUUAUGGAAAAGGGAACUCACAAAAAAAGGAAAAUGGAGGAUGUUUUUGAGAAGAGAUGGAGUCUGAAAGAAGGAAAAAUAUAAAUACAUGGGUUACAUACAUGCACAUAAACACACGCCUGGAGGUGACCUGACAUGUGAAGGUGGACGCAUGUGCGUGCCCAUGUAAAUUAUAUUAUUUUUAUUAUUAUUUUUUUAUUCUAUUCUUUCUUUUUAUUAUUACUAUUCUUUU